rnacentral:rRNA from 1 species
GAUUAACGCUGGCGGCGUGCAUAACACAUUCAAGUCGAACGGUGAUCCCUUCGGGGUGAAGCUUAUGAAACUUAGUGGCGGACGGGUGAGUAACGCGUGGGUAACCUGCCCUUUUGUGGGGAACAACUUCGAGAAAUCGGAGCUAAUACCGCAUAUACUUACGGGAUCGCAUGAUUCUGUAAGGAAAGAUGGCCUCUGAAUAUGCUAUCGCAAAAGGAUGGACCCGCGUCUGAUUAGCUAGUUGGUGAGGUAACGGCUCACCAAGUCGACGAUCAGUAGCCGGACUGAGAGGUUGAACGGCCACAUUGGGACUGAGAUACGGCCCAGACUCCUACGGGAGGCAGCAGUGGGGAAUAUUGGGCAAUGGGGGCAACCCUGACCCAGCAACGCCGCGUGAAGGAAGAAGGCUUUCGGGUUGUAAACUUCUUUUACCAGGGACGAAGACGUGACGGUACCUGGAGAAAAAGCCACGGCUAACUACGUG